UUAACUCUUGAAUGUAUCUGCUAGGGGUUGCUAAUUAAAGUUUUGUCCCAUUAUACUCUUGCUGGUGAGAACAUUUAUGACGUACUAUGUUCCUUUUGAGUUUUAGCUAGGUCCCACUUCCAGGUGGGCCUUGAGAUUUUGAUCGUACUUGAUAUGUGCCUCUCUUCCCCUGUGGAUUGCCCCCCUUAGGCUCUUCUGG
rnacentral:lncRNA from 1 species